GGUGGAGGAGCUGAAGCUGUAAACUCUGAUGCUGUCGUUUCGGCUUACGACUCUUGAACGUAGAUGUGAGCAAGCCGGUUGAGUAUCAAACUUUUCACCUACAAGUCUUGCAUUUCCCUAUGACUUUGACUUGUUGCUUUCAAGAGUGAAGAUUGUUCCUACGAACCAACACAAAUCCUUUUAGAAUAUUUUAUUCUCGGUCUCAUGCUUUUUUGGAAAAUACCUUAGGAGGUCAUUUAAUAUAGAAUUGUUUCAAGCCAAGUCCACUCUACUUUGGAGUUCCUAUGCACGGACCACUUGAAAAAGCGUUUUUGGCCCCCAUUUUGAUUGAGUGCAAGCUACAAAGCUAGACAUGAGCCUUCAUUUUGAAGGCAACCCUAGCUAUGGCGGAAUAUUUUCUUGAUGUGCCAAUGUCUUUGGCUUUGUUCACCCAAGAAAACCUUUUUGAAUUUAAGGCCACGACCUUCCUUUCCCAGAACUGAAAUGAAAAAAUGGUUGAAAGAACCAGGAGCUCUAACGCCUCACGAUUCAAGCCGUUGUUGAGUCUUCUCACAUGUACCACUUCUGCAUUCCAUCUUAAUUGGCAUUGGCUAUUGAGAAGAUUCUGUGUAACUUCCUGUCGGAAGGUAAGAAAUGGAUUUUUUUUUUUUGGCUUCUCUAUUAUAUGUUUCACUGAUUAAUAAAAUAUUUGUUUUUCUUUUAAAAAGAAAAUAAUGUAAUAUUUUGUAUACAUAUUACUACUUAUAAGUGUGAUAAUUUUGUUUGUGAUC